GAUGAACGCUGGCGGCGUGCCUAAUACACGCAAGUCGAACGCACAGCGAAAGGUGCUUGCACCUUUCAAGUGAGUGGCGAACGGGUGAGUAACACGUGGACAACCUGCCUCAAGGCUGGGGAUAACAUUUGGAAACAGAUGCUAAUACCGAAUAAAACUCAGUGUCGCAUGACACAAAGUUAAAAGGCGCUUUGGCGUCACCUAGAGAUGGAUCCGCGGUGCAUUAGUUAGUUGGUGGGGUAAAGGCCUACCAAGACAAUGAUGCAUAGCCGAGUUGAGAGCCUGAUCGGCCAACUUGGGAAUGAGACACGGCCCAAACUCCUACGGGAGGCUGCAGUAGGGAAUCUUCCACAAUGGGCGAAAGCCUGAUGGAGCAACGCCGCGUGUGUGAUGAAGGCUUUCGGGUCGUAAAGCACUGUUGUAUGGGAAGAACAGCUAGAAUAGGGAAUGAUUUUAGUUUGACGGUACCAUACCAGAAAGGGACGGCUAAAUACGUGCCAGCCGCCGCCGUAA
rnacentral:rRNA from 1 species